rnacentral:rRNA from 1 species
GAUGAACGCUGGCGGCGUGCCUAAUACAUGCAAGUAGAACGCUGAAGGAGGAGCUUGCUCUUCUGGAUGAGUUGCGAACGGGUGAGUAACGCGUAGGUAACCUGCCUGGUAGCGGGGGAUAACUAUUGGAAACGAUAGCUAAUACCGCAUGACAACAGUUAUUGCAUGAUAACUGUUUAAAAGGGGCAACUGCUCCACUACCAGAGGGACCUGCGUUGUAUUAGCUAGUUGGUGAGGUAACGGCUCACCAAGGCGACGAUACAUAGCCGACCUGAGAGGGGGAUCGGCCACACUGGGACUGGGACACGGCCCAGACUCCUACGGGAGGCAGCAGUAGGGAAUCUUCGGCAAUAGACGGAAGUCUGACCGAGCAACGCCGCGUGAGUGAAGAAGGUUUUCGGAUCGUAAAGCUCUGUUGUAAGAGAAGAACGAGUGUGAGAGUGGAAAGUUCACACUGUGACGGUAUCUUACCAGAAAGGGACGGCUAACUACGUG